GGGGACUUAGCUCAGUGGUAGAGCGCUUGCCUAGUAAGCGCAAGGCCCUGGGUUCGGUCCCCAGCCCCG
rnacentral:tRNA from 1 species